rnacentral:rRNA from 1 species
UACGGAGGAUCCGAGCGUUAUCCGGAUUUACUGGGCGUAAAGGGUGCGUAGGUGGUUUCUUAAGUCAGAGGUGAAAGGCUACGGCUCAACCGUAGUAAGCCUUUGAAACUGGGAAACUUGAGUGCAGGAGAGGAGAGUGGAAUUCCUAGUGUAGCGGUGAAAUGCGUAGAUAUUAGGAGGAACACCAGUUGCGAAGGCGGCUCUCUGGACUGUAACUGACACUGAGGCACGAAAGCGUGGGGAGCAAACAGGAUUAGAUACCCCGGUAGUCCCUGAG